rnacentral:rRNA from 1 species
AGAGUUUGAUCCUGGCUCAGGAUGAUUUCUAGCGACAGGCUUAACACAUGCAAGUCGAGGGGCAGCAGGGGCGUACCAAUACACCUGCUGGCGACCGGCGCACGGGUGAGUAACACGUAUGAAACCUGCCCGUAGCAGGGGGAUAAGCGGAAGAAAUUCCGUCUAAUACCGCGUAACAACCGUCAGGGGCAUCCCCGAUGGUUUAAAGGAUUGAUCCGGCUACGGAUGGUCAUGCUUCGAAUUACCUAGUCGGCGGGGUAACGGCCCACCGAGGCGACAAUGCGUACGGGUUCUGAAAGGAAGGCCCCCCCCACUGGAACUGAAACACGGACCAAACUCCUACGGAAGGCAGCAGGGAGGAAUAUUGGUCAAUGGCCAGAACGCUGAACCACCCCACUCCCGUGAGGAAAAACGGCCCUAUGGGUUGUAAACCUCUUUUGUCGGAAAACAAAGGCCGCCACUUGUGGCGAAUUGAGAGUACCCUAAGAAAAAGCAUCCGCUAACUCCGUGCCAGCAGCCGCGGUAAUACGUGAGGGAGGCGAGCGUUAUCCGGAUUUAUUGGGUUUAAAGGGUGCGCAGGCGGCGAUCUCAAGUCAGCGGUCAAAUCGAGGGGCUCAACCCCUUUCCGCCGUUGAAACUGGCGUCCUAGAGUGGGGGAGAAGUACGCGGAAUUCGUGGUGUAGCGGUGAAAUGCAUAGAUAUCUCGCGGAACUCCGAUGGCGAAGGCAGCGUACCGGCGCCCAACUGACGCUCAGGCUCGAAAGCGUGGGUAUCGAACAGGAUUAGAUACCCUGGUAGUCCACGCAGUAAACGAUGAAUUAUAACUGUCCGGCCCAAUCGUGGGGCUGGGCGGUACACAGAAACACGUUAAAUAUUCCACGGGGAGAGCACGCCGCAAGACGGUGAAUCUCAAAGAGAUAUUGACGGAGGCCCGCACAAGCGGAAGCACAUGUGUGUUUAAUUAGACGAUACGCGAGGCACCUUAUCCGUGGCUCCAUCGACAGACGAAAGUUUUAGAUAAGGAGAGUCACCCCUUCGGGGCAUCAGUCGAGGUGGUGCAUGGUUGUCGUCAGCUCGUGUCCGUGAGAGUGUCGGCUAAAUCGCCAUAACGAGCGCAACCUCCAUUCGCCAGUUACCAGCAAGUGAAGUUGGGGACUCUGGAGAGACUGCCGGCGCAAGCCGUGAGGAAGGCGGGGAUGACGUCAAAUCAUCACGCCCCUUACGUCCGGGGCGACACACGUGUUACAAUGGCAGGUACAGAGAGACGCCACCGGGCGACAGGGAGCGGACCUCGAAAACCUGUCUCAGUUUGGAUCGGAGUCUGCAACCUGGCUCGCAGAAAGUGGAUUUGGUAGUAUUUGGGCAUCAGCCAUGGCGCGGUGAAUACGUUCCCGGGCCUUGCACUCACCGCCCGUCA